CAAGGAAGUUUGCAUUCUCACCACAUGUUGCUUCAAAACUCUGUGUGGACCCAAGUUCAUUCAAUACAAAUUCCUGCACGAAAGAUUUGAAAAGGGCCUGUGAGAAGAACGACAUUGCCAAAGCUGACCAAUUGUUCUUCACCAUUGUGAAACAAGACCAUUGGGCGGUCGUUGUUCUAAACUUGAUCCAUAAACAGUUCAAUGUGUUCGACUCCAACAUUAGA